rnacentral:tRNA from 3 species
AUAGAGGUAGCUCAGUUGGUAGAGCAUCGGAUUCCAAACCCGCUGGUCGGGGGUUCAACUCCCUCCCUCUAUGCCA